rnacentral:rRNA from 1 species
UACGGAGGGUGCAAGCGUUAUCCGGAAUUACUGGGUUUAAAGGGUGCGUAGGCGGCUUGUUAAGUCAGGAGUGAAAGUUUGCGGCUCAACCGUAAAAUUGCUUUUGAUACUGGCAGGCUGGAAUCAGGAUGAGGUCAGCGGAAUGUGGCAUGUAGCGGUGAAAUGCAUAGAUAUGCCAUAGAACACCAAUUGCGAAGGCAGCUGGCUAGACCUGUAUUGACGCUGAGGCACGAAAGCGUGGGGAGCGAACAGG